rnacentral:lncRNA from 1 species
UGUGUGUGUGUGUGUGUGUGUGUGUUUAUAUAUAUAAACACACAUAUAACGUUUUUUUAAAAAGUCAGGGCCUGGGAGAAAAUUUUUACAAACCAUGUAUUUGAUGAAGAUUAUAUCCAGAAUAUAAAAAGAAAUCUCAAAACUAAUAAGAUAUCUCACACACAUCCUCAAAAUGGUCAGUGGGCUGGAACUGUGGCUCAGUGGUUGAGUGCUUGCCUAGCAAGUGUGAGGCACUGGAUUCAAUCCUUGGCACCACAUAAAAAUAAAUAAAGGUAUUUUUAAAAAAUGGGCAAUUAAUUUGAACAGGCACUUCGCCCACGAUUUACAAAUGGCAAAUAAUUAUGUGAAACAUUACUCAACAUCAUUCGACUAUAAAUGAAUGUAAAAUAUAGCUACAAUAACACCAACACACUUAGAAUAGCCUGAAAAAUUCUAAUAAUAGCAAGAAUUAUCAAGAAUGUAGUACAACUAUAACUACAUAGCUUGUAAUCAUGCAAAAUGGAUAGAUAGCCACAUUGCAAAACACUUUGAGGGGCAGUUUCUUAUAAAGUUAAACAUCAAUGUGACUCAGUUAGAGAAGUAUCCAAGAAAAGCUGCUCACACAAAAAUGUGAGUGCAGUGCUUUUAUUCAUCUAUUCAUCUUUCACAAUGGAAACCCAGGUAUUUUUCAACUAUUGUAGUACAUCUGUAUAAAGUACUGAUGACUGCUAUGUGAAACAAUAUGACUUUAUCUUAAAUACAUCGUGCUAAGAAGCCAGAGUCAAAAAAGUUACAUACUGUGACAACAUUUUCAUGAAAUUUUGUAAAGGUAACUUGUAUGACAGAGAAAAUAACUGGUUGCCAAAAGUCAGAUGUGAAUGAGUAAGCUGAAUGACUAUAGAGGGUCAAGAGAAUUUGGUGGCAUAAUAGAAACAUUCUGAUUGUGGUUAUUGCUAUUCACUGUAUCUAAAACUUGUGGAUCUGUAUACAUUGCACAAAGAAUUUCACUCUAUAGAAAAAAUAAAACUGCAUUUGGUGAAAAGAAGUCCUGCCCCUUUAUCACUGCUUGAUAUAAGUAGGAUAGAACUUCUGUUAAAAUUUAAGCUCUGAUCCACUUUGUUAUCUUUGGCAUGAAAUAUGCUAUUAUUUAAUAUUAAACAUGCUAUUUUCACCUUUAAAACUAUGAAAGAAUUUCUUUUUUCAAGUGAAUGAGUUCAAGGGUUUUUUAAUUUAAUUUAUGAUCGGUUUCAAAUGUAAACAAUGUCUUUAGCUUUGCUAAAGGAGAUGGUAU